rnacentral:tRNA from 1 species
GGUAGAAUGACUGAAACAGUGGUGGAUUGUAGCUCCAUAAAUAGAGGUUCAAGCCCUCUUUCUUCCA